GAUCUUCAGGGCAGGGUGCAAUUCCCUACCGGUGGUAAUAGCCCACGAGCUGCAAAGCAAGAUUCGGUGUGAUUCCGAAGCCGACGGUAUAGUCCGGAUGAAAGAAGAU
rnacentral:ncRNA from 1 species